AUAGCCGGGAUAGCUCAGUCGGUAGAGCAGAGGACUGAAAAUC
rnacentral:tRNA from 1 species